rnacentral:snRNA from 1 species
GGAUGUUAGGGCGAUCGGGCUCUGACAUCUGUCACCCCAUUGAUCACCAGCAGUGAUCUGGCUGAUCUGGCUAUUUAGGCCGGUGUCCCUUUCCUCCCUCAAUGCUCCAUGUGCAUCCCUUCAGAACCUAUGCGCUUGGUCAAAGAGGUUGACCAGCUCUGAUAGAGGAGGACCUUUCCUCAGUCAAGAGUACAUGAGUACCUCACAGACCUAGAGAAAUCAUUCCUAAAACUUAUCUGGAACCAGAAAAGACCUAGAAUAUCAAAGGCAAUCCUGGGCAAUAAAGACAAGGCAGGAGGCAUUACAAUUCCU